rnacentral:rRNA from 1 species
GAUGAACGCUAGCGGCAGGCUUAAUACAUGCAAGUCGAGGGGCAGCACGGGUAGCAAUACCUGGUGGCGACCGGCAAACGGGCGCGGAACACGUACGCAACCUUCCCAUAACUGGUGAAUAGCCCUCCGAAAGGAGGAUUAAUACACCGUAACUUAACGAAGUGGCAUCACUUUGUUAAUAUAGGCUUCGGCCGGUUUUGGAUGGGCGUGCGCCUGAUUAGGUAGUUGGCGGGGUAACGGCCCACCAAGCCUGCGAUCAGUAACUGGUGUGAGAGCACGACCAGUCACACGGGCACUGAGACACGGGCCCGACUCCUACGGGAGGCAGCAGUAAGGAAUAUUGGUCAAUGGACGAAAGUCUGAACCAGCCAUGCCGCGUGAAGGAUUAAGGCCCUCUGGGUUGUAAACUUCUUUUAUCUGGGACGAAAAAAGGGUAUUCUUACUCACUUGACGGUACCAGAGGAAUAAGCACCGGCUAACUCCGUGCCAGCAGCCGCGGUAAAGUAGACGU